CAUGUACCCACCUGCAAGUUCAUCUAUUCAUGGAGCUCUGUAACAAUCAAUAAGAGAGUAAAGAUGACGCAUCUCAUUAUCAUUUUCCAAACAGAAGAUUUCAUUCUACUUGGACAGGCUUUUGAGCUCUGUUUAUAUUCUAGGGAACAAAGAACUUUAUGAUGUCAUGCCAUACUCCAAGAUCCUUCGUUACCUUGCCACUCCUAACCUUUGAAUUCAGAAAGAGAAUUUUUUCCAGUAUUCUGUGAGAUUGCUGCUUUCACAAAGGGAUGGGAAGACUUGACAUUAAUUUAGAGUGUUCUAACAGGACUCUAUGACAACAGCAAAUAGACGAUGGUGCUUCUAGGGGCAAGAUGGAUGGAAAGCCAACUAGAUGGAUAAACAUGCAACUAGGAUAUUGUGGCCCUUGUUUAAUAAUAGCAAUAAAAGGAG
rnacentral:lncRNA from 1 species